CCUCACCAGUCCCAGCAAGUGGGCCUGACCUGAAGAAGUCCUCUUCGUCCUCAAGGCUGGCAGCCCAGAGCCACAGGCACCUGAAUGGGAGCUCAAGACCACAUCCCCAGGGGAUUACGUGCACAGCAGGAGGAGAAAGCCUGAGCUGAAACACCACAUGCAUCAUAAAAACAUGGGCACAGCAUGCUCAGGAGAUGUAACACCCUGAACACACCUCAGGAAAAAGCCCGAACUCCAAACAACAAAAGAAGGCAUCUUUCCCAGGUACAGAAAAUUCCUGACUCCGUCAGGAGAAUGAAAACCAGGGUUUGCACUGGUUGCUGGAUAAGCCAUUUCAGAUCACCCGCUUGUCGUUUGGAUUGCCUUACCCCUCUUCCAUUGAAGUGCAGCAGUCUGGUAAGCACUGUCCACUUUCCAGGCUUUGACAGCCUCCUCCUUUCUGCACCACUGGCUCUUUCAGAGGAGAUGUUUUGUUCCAUAAAUGAGUGGCUGAGGCUUGUUACCUGAGUUCUCUGAAAUACUAUUGUGACAAAUAUCCGUGGCUAGUGGCUGUAUUUCCUAAAUGAAGGUACUGUCCAUUCUUCAGUGUGAUACUAGAGUCAUCUUCUGCUAGUAUGACCAUGUUAUUUCCAAGGACACAUCUGGCCCUGAGGCAGAACCACCCCUGCUUUGAGAUGGCUGAUGGAGGAGCUGGCUGCUAGUGCAGGGCUGUGUGGCAGGGACAUCUCCUCACAGCAGGGCACCUGACCUGAUAAAUGACUUCCAGUCUUGUUGUGAUACCAGGGAAGGCAUGGCCUGGCUGCCAGCCCAUCAAGAUGGGAGUUGUUCUGGGGAGACUGAGUCUUCAGAAAGCAGAGCUGCUAAAAUUCAAGACAUCCUUGAAGCAUCUAUGCAAAUGUGAUUUUCCAAAAUCCAAUAACUUGAGCAAAUUUGGAACCCUGGAAAUCUUGGACGAAGAGGUAACAUGGACGUCUCUGAGUCAUAUCUUCAAUGUUUACCAGCCCUUUCUGAAUCACACUUCUGGUCUCUUGAAGACUUGACAGAAGCUACAUACUGUGUGCCUGAGGUGCAGUAGCAUAUAAAAUCAUGUCAGAAAAGGCAAGGAUAAGAGCUACAGUCUGGCUCAUAAGGUCCACCACAGGUGGUCCUGUUGUAGGUCACAUUGGUUGACCAGUAUUGUUAUCAAAUUGU